CUGGCGGCAGGCCUAACACAUGCAAGUCGAGCGCGCCUUCGGGUGAGCGGCGGACGGGUUAGUAACGCGUGGGAACGUGGCCUUUUCUACGGAAUAGCCUCUGGAAACGGAGAGUAAUACCGUAUACGCCCUUUGGGGGAAAGAUUUAUCGGAGAAGGAUCGGCCCGCGUUAGAUUAGGUAGUUGGUGGGGUAACGGCCUACCAAGCCUACGAUCUAUAGCUGGUUUUAGAGGAUGAUUAGCAACACUGGGAUUGAGACACGGCCCAGACUCCUACGGGAGGCAGCAGUGGGGAAUCUUAGACAAUGGGGGCAACCCUGAUCUAGCCAUGCCGCGUGAGUGAUGAAGGCCUUAGGGUCGUAAAGCUCUUUCGCCUGUGAUGAUAAUGACAGUAGCAGGUAAAGAAACCCCGGCUAACUCCGUGCCAGCAGCCGCGGUAAUACGGAGGGGGUUAGCGUUGUUCGGAAUUACUGGGCGUAAAGCGCACGUAGGCGGACUGGAAAGUUGGGGGUGAAAUCCCG
rnacentral:rRNA from 1 species